GCUGCGGUUAAAAAGCUCGUAGUUGGAUCUGUGCCAUAGGACGUGGUCCACCUUUUUGGUGCGCACUACGCUCCUAGGCUUUUUGCUGGUUUUCCCGUCGUAGCCUUCACUGGUUGCGGCGGGUGGCUGGCGAGUUUACUUUGAGAAAAUCAGAGUGCUCAAUACAGGCGUAUCGCUUGAAUGAUUGUGCAUGGAAUAAUAGAAAAGGAUUUCGGUCCUCUUUUAUUGGUUUUGUGGACUGAGAUAAUGGUUAACAGGGACAAACGGGGGCAUUCGUAUCGCUGCGUGAGAGGUGAAAUUCUUGGACCGUAGCGAGACGCCCUACUGCGAAAGCAUUUGCCAAGAAUGUCUUCAUUAAUCAAGAACGAAAGUCAGAGGUUCGAAGGMGAUCAGAUACCGCCCUAGUUCUGACCGUAAACGAUGCCAACUAGCGAUCCGCCGGWGGAUUUUUAGCCCUGGUGGGUAGCUUCCCGGAAACGAAAGUCUUCCGGUUCCGGGGGAAGUAUGGUUGCAAAGCUGAAACUUAAAGGAAUUGACGGAAGGGCACCACCAGGAGUGGAGCCUGCGGCUUAAUUUGACUCAACACGGGGAAACUCACCCGGCCCGGACACCGUAAGGAUUGACAGAUUGAUAGCUCUCUCAUGAUUCGGUGGUUGGUGGUGCAUGG
rnacentral:rRNA from 1 species